GGAGAGAUGGCUCAGUGGUUAAGAGCACUGACUGUUCUUCCAGAGGUGCUGAGUUCAAUUCCCAGCAACCACA
rnacentral:tRNA from 1 species